GCAAAACCCGGGCCAUGGAAGCGGAGUAUGCGAACUUGACCACUGCAGCACUGGGCUGGCCAUAGGCAUGUACUUUGGAAAUGGCUUAUUUUAUUCAGCAAAUAUUCACACCCAAAGCUCUCCCAAUAGAAGAGGGGUGCAUUGCCCUACUGGAUUGAUGGUAGGCUUUUAACCACAUGUCUUUUGGAAUGUGACAUGAGUAAACACUUGAAACUUGCUCUCAUUAUUGGGCUUGUUCUCUCGGGCUUCUGCCAUCACUAUGAGAUAGCUUUCUCCCUGUAGUUGCUGCCUCUUCAACCUGAUUACAAGCGUUGCUGGACCCACAGCCUGGAUGAAGCUUUGCUGCUUGAAGCAGAGCUCCCUAUUCAAGGUCGGCCUGGGUCAGCCAAUGCCAGUGGAGUACACGAAUUAUUAUUGUAUGCUGCUGAGUUCAGGGGUGUUUAUUAUAUAUAAUUAUUGUUUCCUUAACCGAUGAUGUAUCUCACCGCACAGCUUUAUUUUUUUCUCCUUAGACCUUUUCACUGUUUCCAUGUUAUAUGUUUUGCUACUUUGCUUGUUUAUUAUUGAUUCUCAUGGCUAGAAUGUAAGGUGCACACAGUCAGGUGUUUUGCUUGCUUUAUUCAUUUCUGUAUACUCGACACCUGGAAAAGUGCUUGGUGUGUCGCACAUGCCUGAUAAAUAUUGUUGAAUGAAAAUAACGUAAUUAAGAUCCUCACUUCUCUGUGCCUAACUUCAUAAAAUAAUGAGUUUAGAUUCAUCUCUUCCUCUUUACAAAUCAAGAAACUGAAGCAUGGAUAAUUUAAAUGACUUGAUCAAUGUCCUAGGAUUAGAUCCAGCAGAUUCAUUAAAAUCUAUGGAUAGCUGCUGAUACUAUAACAUUUAAAUAUUAUUUUAGUAAAGCCCAAUAUAUUAGAAAACUGCUAUCUAGUUUAAAUCAUCACAAACUGUGAGCUGGCUUAAGUCAGUGGCUAGGUAUUAACAAUACAUAGAUAAUAUUAGGAAUAACUUGUCCUUGACUCUCCUCCACUGAAAUUAAGUAAUAGAAUUCAGAGGAUUUAAAGAUUUAGGGCCACAGAGUUCUGGCUAAUUGGAUUCAUUGUUGGAUUAGUCUUUUUCAAGAAUUAAGUAUCUUAACUUUUGGUGGCCAUGUUAUUCAGGACUAAGGUGUAAGGUAGUAAACCCAACAAGGUAAAUCUACUGGUACCAUAUCCUAGGGAGGAGGAAGGAGGUGGAAGAAUUCACUUCAUAUUAUUAUGAAGUGAAUGUGUCCCCCACAAUUCAUAUGUGGCAAUCCUACUCCCCACUAUGAUGGUAUUAGGAGGUGUGGCCUUUGGAAAGUGAUUAAGAUUAGAUGAGGUCAUAAGGGUGGAACUCUCAUGAAUAGGACUGGUGCCUUUAUAAGAGUCAGGAUGGAGCUCUGUUGCUCUGCUAUGUUUUCCAUCACAUGAGGACAGGAAUAGAGGAUGGCCGUGUGGAACCAGAAGAGGCUCUCACCAGAACCCAAGGGUGCAGGCUCUCUGAUCUCAGACUUCUAGCCUCGAAAACUGUACCAAGGAAAGGCCACAAGAACACAUAACCAGCAAAAGUGCCCUCACCAAGAACUUGACCAUGCUGGCAUCCUGACCUUGGACUUCCAGCUUCCAGAACCAUGGGAAAUAAAUGCCUGGGUCUAAGCCACCCAGUUUAUGGGUUAUAGCAGCCCUAACUAAGACACUGUGCUAGUAAGAACUGAGAUACGUUGGGGCAAGGUCUGCAUUCCAGAGGAAGGGCAGAAAACUCUGCAAAUUGGAGGAUAGGAAGCUAGAUCCCUCAUCUACACUUCCGUACAGCGAUGGAGAGUGACAUCAAACACACGGUGAUUACGAUGAGACCCAAACGCAAAUUCCCAACAUUGUCAACUUCCAAGAGGCAUGCAGUAUAUAGUUACAAGAUAUGGAAUUUAGCGUGAUCUUGAAUCCGUCCCCAUCAAGAGGGAGAAUCUAAUUCCUCUCAGCUUGAAUUUGGGCUGGCCUUAUAAUUGAAGUGUAACAAUUUAGAAUGAGGAGGAAACAACAACGCAUGGUUACCAAGACUAGUUCAGAAAGACCAUCUAGUAUCUACCUGCCGUAAUUCUCUUGGGAUGUUCAUUCUGGAGGAAGCCAGCUGCCAUAGAAGAGGACAGACCACCCUGAGACAGCCAUAAUGGAGAGACUCCACGUGGGUGUUCCAAUCUCCAGCUCCAAACGAGCUCAUGGCCCAAAGCCAGCAUCCACUGACAGCUAGCCACUUACGUGAACCAUCUUGGUUUUGCAGCAAAGUUGCGUUUUCUUGUGACUACAGCUAUAGAAAACAUCUAAGUGCAAGCACAUUAGAGAUUCCUUAUGACACCCUCUCAGCUAAGUCUUUCCAAAUUCCUGAUCCACAAAAUCAUGAGCAAGAGAAAAUGGAUGUUUUAUGUCACUAUGUUUUGAGGUCAUUUAUUAUGCAGUAAGAAUAGCAGAAGAAAAACCGUGAUAAUGUGUAUACGGUGCUUAUUAAAAUGUUAUUAGUAUAAUGUUUGUCGGGCAGGGAACACUUCUCCUGGAGUUUAAUAUUCAUUCAAUGAGGAGAGAGCUCUUUUAACAUACCUCUCCUGGACUCUCCAACUCGCCUUCUUCUCCCUAUGAGAACUAGGGGGAUGUCUGAUUGGUAACUCUAGGGACAGCAUAUUGUAUAAGCUUUUCCUAUCACUCCUUAUUUAUUUUCAGAAAGGACCUUCGUGUAGAGAUGAUAGGUUCUCCAUUGCUCCUAGCCAUCAUGCUAACCUUAGUGGUGAUGCUUACGUGAUGAGACGUAGGAAGAAGAGAUGUAGUCCUCUUCUUCCACAGGAGAGGGCUACAGGGUCUAAUGUUACUUGGGCCUAUGUUGGGUAAGUCCAUCUAAUUCUUUAGUUCACUAUAAGUACAUUCACUUACCUGUCGAUUUAAGCCACGUGAUAUUUUGUCCCCAUUUAUUUCUUUUGCCUUAGCUAGUGAUUGAGAAUUUAGGCAAGGAAAAAGGAUACUAUUAAUUAAGACCCAUUCUAAAAUCUACAAUGAUGAGCAUAUUUGCUAAGUCUAUUGUCAUAUUUGGGGAUGAAAUUAUUACUUUGAACCAUAUGGCAUUGAUGAUAUUUCAUUGUCUAUAACCUAAACAUUUAGCAAUUUCAUCAAAACUUUGACACUGUAUGAAUAAUAGGAAGUUUUGUUUUGUUUUGUUUUGUGCUGCAUUUCCCAAGCCCCUAUCAGGUGCCAAGUAAUCUGUUAAGAGCAUUUUCUGUUGAAAAGAUUAGUUGUUAAAUUUCAUUUGACUUAGAGCAUUGUUUUCCAAAGUAAGGCCUGAAGACCAUCCACAUGAUGCCAAUUGAUGAGUUUAUUAAAUAUGUACUCCUAGGACCUGUGCUAGACAUACUAGCUACUCUAAAUCAAUCUCAGAGAGUGGGAUUCUAGAAUCUGCAUUUUAACAGGCUCUCCAAGUGAUUUUUAUUGCAAAUACAAUCUCAUGCUACCUUCCAUGACAAGAGAGAUACGGUCUCAAUAUACUCUGUGACAGUGUUUAAUCAAACCUUACGCAUCAGACUUUAGGGAGUCUGUUAACAAUCAGAGUUUACUCAGAAUAAGAGGAACAUGUAUGUUUCAAAAAUUAUGUAAAAUGAUGAAGGUAAAAAAUAAAGUUUGUUAAAUAUUUACAAUAUGCUAAAGACUUUGAUUUGCAUUUUAUAAUAUACUCCAUCUUUUUUAUACCAAUAAGAGAAAUAAGUAUUAUUAUUAACAUUUUAAAGAUGAAGAAACUCAUACUGAAAAGAGUUCAAAUAAUAUUGCCAAAGCUGAAGCAUCAUAAACGGCAGAGCUGAAAUUCAAACAUACAUAUUCCUUACUUCAAAGCUCAGCUCAAUCAUUCAACUUCUGAAUUUUGGCUGUUGAAGAAACUAGGAAUAUUAAGAGAAAAGAGGCUUACCAUCCAGAAAAUAAGAUGGAGAUCUUAAAAAAUCUUUGGAGAAAAGUCUUGAUAGAAAAUGAAUAGUCUUAAUUUUUUUAUUCAGUGGAUAAAAGUUGUAUUUGGAAAAACAAAAGUAUAUUUGGGUUUCUAUAAUUGUUUUGUAACAAAUAAACCCAAUAAAAAUUAAAAGAUGUGUACUUUAAUAGAGAUAGGCCUUAGCAAACAAAAACUAGUUGAUUAUUUUCACAACUACUACAGAAAAAAAUUCUGCAUGUGGUUUUGGAUAACCUGGGGCAUAGAGUACAGAAUAAAAUAUCAUGGCCUUCUGGUUGCUUGGUGACUUUUUAUUGAUAAAAUAACUGAAGAUAAGGUAUCUCUCAUUCUUGGUAUAUACAUAAGGAUACAUCUAUUAAAUGAAGAGUAAAAGCUAUCUUUGAAAAGAGAAUUUUUAGGAAAUGUUACAAUAGACAGGAAAUUAAUAAAAGUAUUAGCUGGGAAUAUGAAGCUCCAAAUGAUAAGGGCUUACAGAUAUGAAAAUUAUUAUUUGAGUAAUCGCAUCUAAUGAAAUGUAGUAAAUUGACAUGAAAACAAUUACCUACAGUAUUAUAUGUCUAAUAUUUUUGGCAAUUUUAAACAAUUUGAUGGAAAUACAACUCCUUUCAGAUUUGGCAACUGUGUCAUUGUAAUAUCUAUGAUUUUCUGUUAAGAAAAUAUUAAAGCAAACUCUAUAUCAUUUCUCUGAGUUGCCAGAAGACUAUAAAUACCACUCACAUUUUAUAUAUUUGAUUGCCAACUUGCAUAUAUAAAAUAAGUAAAUCAAAAUAGUUUAACUAUAACCAAAAGAGAUAUACUCUCUUAAAAAAGCCAUCAUAAGGAGCAAAAGGGGAAAAGAAGGGUGAUGUAUUUCAAAGUACCUUCUUUCAAAAGGCAAAUAGUAAAUGGAUGGGGAAAUGCCUGUUUUAUCAAUCUAUGGAGUUACCAUGUUGCUAAAAGUGACAUGAUGAGUUGGAAGGAUAGAAAGUGUAUUUUGGAAAAACUGAUUUCAAAUGUUUCUGCUAUCAAUAUUGGUGCUUAUAUUUUAGAAAUAAUUGACUUUUGCAGACACUGAUUUAAAUUAGUGAAAAAAGAUUAAAGGAAGUUGCUCUUUAACAUUAAGAACAGAAAAGCGAUCUAUAAGCUUAAUCUUACUGUCUUUACAGAUGUGAAAAUGCCACUCCAUCAUGCCAUUAAUUCUCUACCUUUUCCUUUCUGUCUCACUUUUGUCUACUACUUGUAGUUUUAUGUGAAUUUUUAUGAAUAACAACAAUUAUGAAAAGCCAUGGAGUGUAGCGACACAUAUGAUAAAGUUUAAUUGAUUUCUAAGUAACUUGAAUACAUUCCAAUGAAAGGGCACCAAUUUACAUGGGAGUGGCAUCUGCCAAAAUGCUGUAUUUUGUUGUGUUUGUACUUAUUUCUACUUACUAGAUUCUAAAUUAUAUGAAAGCACAAACCUCUUCUACUACACAAAGACAAUUCUAAAGAGUAAAGAGUUUAAGGACAUCCAGACUUCUGUGAAUUUGAAUUACUUUUCAUCUUCACAGCACUGGGUUGGGGGGUUUGAAAUUGCAAUAAGAUAUUUUGUAGAUUCAAUGUAUGCCAGAAGUACACGUAAGCAAACAUAAGAAUACUAACAACCUAAGAUUUUGUGACUUGAAAAAUAUCAAGUACUACCCUUCAACUUUUUUCUUUUUUGAAUUUAUUUUUAGGCUGACUUUGUAGUAUACUACCUUUUUAAAAAUUAAAACAUUUAUUGGAUUCCUAAAGUUACUUGGUAAGUUGGAGUCCAAUGUGAGAUUUAAUAAUAUGCCAAACACCGAAAAUACAAUAAUAUUGGAAACCACUCUGCACUGGGUUGC